AGUUUCUUACUGAGGGGGAUGUUAUGAAGUGCAUUCAUUCUUCACUUCUAUAGAUUUUAAAGAAAUGUGGCCAUCCGUUUCUCAUGACCUAAUCUUCUUUUGGAGACUUGCUUACAAAACAGACAAGUAGGUGGUUCAUUGGCUGCUCCUCCCUUGAUUGGCAACGGUUGUGCCCUUUGGAACUCAGAGAAGGUCAUGGAACCUGGAGUCUUGCCUAAAAGAGAUGGGGGACAGGAAGGCCUUCAUGCCCAGGAACCCCACAGGGCCCUGCUCAGCAUCAGUAGUAAAAACACGAAGCUCUUCCAGUUGCUUGCCUUCAGGAGAGCAGCGAAGGGUCUUCAUAAAGACCGACAGGCCUUUCCUCUGCCCUCCUUCUGGACUCCAUCACUUCAGGAUGAAGCUGGGACCACGUCUCAGGACUGACUUUUGGGCCCUCUGACUCUGCCUCCUGCUCAGUGUUUCCCAAAUUCUCCCGUUUCAAUAAAUGGAAUUGAGAGAAGUCGUCUUA